rnacentral:lncRNA from 1 species
AUCACUGCCUAAAUAAGUGAGCGAUAGGAUAGGACAGGAUCUCGUCCUUCGUCCUUCUGUCAUCCUUUACUAAUCGACAUUCACUGAUCGUAGGUUCCGGAAAGAUCUGAUGAUUACAUUAUUUUGCGAUGUUUAUUUUCUUUUUUUGCUAGCUAGAGACCUAUAACUUCAAAUAUUGUUUAUGCCUGAAGAAAACAUUAUCUUCAACAGUGCAGAUUUCCUCCAAUCUCAAAUAUAUUAUUCGUAGUAUUAUAGCCUAUUAUCAAUAGAAGUCUUAUUCGUGUAUCGUUCUUCGCUAUAGACAAAGCGUUCUGUUAGUCUCACUGCGUUCACAUAGACCGCUUUACGUCCUUUUUAUAUCCGGAUCGUUUCAGAACACUCAGGAUCAGGUGAGUGUUUACGAGUCCUGGUUGGCUUUCACUAUUACACACUGUAUGAACAACCUGUGGCAGGUAACGGGAUGUUCGUUGUUGUUACGUGCCUUCCCUCUCCUUCCCAGUGACAGGUUCCUCAUCAUGAAUUAUGCCUAGGCCGCUACUUCACUCCCUUUGUACAUUUCCAUUCGUUCUAUCAUGUGCUCCUGUUCAAGUACAGAUGCGCUUAUCCAUGUGUAACUUUGCCACAAUACAUUGGUGCUGAUCUCGUUACUAGCAUGGCCGUAUACUCAGCACUUCAGCACGUCUGGACAUCCUUCGACUCUGCUGUUCGGGACGGGCUUCACUCAGCUCAUUGGUCCCUGUAAAUGCCAUUGGCGCCGCAACACGGCCGGUUGUCUUCACAAUGGAGCGGCGCGGCGAAAAAACCAGCUACAUAAAGUGCACACUGUUAUGUUCCCGUUAGAAGGCUUCAUCAUCACUGGCCAGUCGGGACUUCGUUGUUUCUUAUACGCGAAGUAUAUAUGCAUGGAAAGCAUAUGAUAAUAGUAGUAUAGCCUGUGCAGCAUAGACGGUAUACUUACUCACAAUCAGUGAAUCUGUGUGUGUAUCAGUUGAACAGACAGCAAAAGCAUACAUGACGCACAGACAAAUUCAGAAGACUGCGACGCACCCCUACGAAUGCUAAGGGCCACAUCGCAGCCAGGUUGGCUGACUCUGGCGGGACUAGAUCGCGUCGAUACCAUGCUAGCGUCACUUCCUAAACGGAUUUAAAAACCGUUGGAUUCGCCGUUCCAAACAGGGCUAAUCCUACCCCCGUCCCCCGCCCCUUCUCCAGUACGCCGCUCCAAGCUCUCCGCUAGUCAAGCGACGGCUGCGGUCUAUUCGUGCAGAUCGGCAAACAUUUCUAUUGACAGUAUGGCCGAUGCUUCAGUGUCUGUCCGUUAGGUGGCCUGCCGACUUUGGUCCAGUGAGGCGUUGGCGUAUUCAUGAUUACUUUCUAGCUUCAAAGGGGAGCGCAGACAAAUUACGUAUACAACAUUCCAUGCCAGUAUCCAGAUACUACAUAGCAACCUCAACACUGGGAGUAUUAGACAACAUUCAUUAAAAUAUGCCUACAAGGCACGAGCUGACUGACGUGACAUGGCACGCGUUUUCGCCAAUUACGGGGGUCGUGCGUUGAACAGCCGGUCUUCGACCAGACGUUUCCUGCAGCUCACGUUAAUUUCGCCAGUCGUCGCUUUUACGACAAGUGCAACAACCUCAAGAUUACAUUGACGCGUUACAGAACAAAGCUUACUUACUGUCACCUGCUCAGCAGCAUCGCUUAUGCCGCGAUCAAUUCCACCAACUAAUAGUGAUAUCCAUCGAGUCGACAUUCAUCACGGACCCCAUUCAACCAUCUCGCGACUACACUUCUACGAAUAACAGUCUAAAUCGAUGAAAGCCUUCUUACAGGUGGCAAGUUUGUGUUGUGUCACCUCGGUAUGGGGUUCGCAACGAAUCUCAUUAGAAUCUCGGAUUCAAAUACCUUCUGCUUCCGCAGCUUGCUUCGUCAAUGUACAAAGCAGAACAGAUUGGCCGUAUUUCCGUCAUCGGACCCAGACAGCGUCUGCUGUGACCCGAACGACGGAUGAGACCGCUCUUCCUUCCCCUGGCGAGACGUUGAAAAGACGCUUUCCGUGACGCACCAUUCACCGCCAUCGUAUUUAACAAUGGUACAAGCGAUUUAUUGCUUCGACGACGUACAACUCGCGUUAUCACAACACGAAGGUUCGUGACAUACGCAUGGUUCUGAAGUUCGCGUGCCACUAAUGUAUCCUAACGUACAGCAGAACGAAGUGUGGUUUAAGUGCUAUUGGGAUCAAAAGUGGCAUAAUCGUAGAGAGACGUGUGCCAAACGUUUGGCAAUGCCGUGGGCACAUCAGAUGUACAUGUGUACUGCAUACUGGGAACGAUAUAGGAAGAUCGAUUAAAUCAAAUCUGCGAGUGCCAACCGUCAGCAACCUGUCGAGCGGAAGAGGAAGGCCCUCUAAGCCAUGUUAGACUCAUAUGAAGAGGUGGCGGGUGUACUACAACGGUAAAGCCAAGAGGAUAAUUGCACUGGGUAAUGUCGUUUAUA